GGGGAUGACAGGAUUUGACUGAAAGAUCUUGAUUAUAGAAGCAAGUCGAAGUGCUAGAUCUUCGUACCAAUCGAAAGAUUGGAUGAGUCGCAAGACUCAUCACAAAUUAGCAAAAAACAAAUGCUGAAAACAAAUCGGCAAAAAGCGAUGCAUUAGCGGAAGUUUACGCUCCCGCGUAUGUAUACGCCUAAGCUAGCUUUUAGUUAGCUUAUGUCAGAGGGCGUUUAUCCGGAAAGGCUCAACCUGACAUAAUAAAACCGGAAUGAGGUUGUACUACCUCGGUUGAGUAGUAUUGCCGGGCGCAUUAAGCGCAAAAGCCGUAAGGCCAAACCUAUAACAGGGCUAAAAGGUACGCCGAAUACUUUCCUGCCGAACAUAACAUUCGGAUAUACUUGUAAACUUUUAUAGUUAAGCUUUCAACACAGGGGUUCGAUUCCCCUCAUCUCCACCA
rnacentral:tmRNA from 1 species